rnacentral:rRNA from 1 species
UACGGAGGGUGCAAGCGUUAUCCGGAUUCACUGGGUUUAAAGGGAGCGUAGGUGGGUUAGUAAGUCCGUGGUGAAAUCUCUGAGCUUAACUCGGAAACUGCCAUGGAUACUAUUAGUCUUGAAUAUUGUGGAGGUUAGCGGAAUAUGUCAUGUAGCGGUGAAAUGCUUAGAUAUGACAUAGAACACCAAUUGCGAAGGCAGCUGGCUACACAUAUAUUGACACUGAGGCUCGAAAGCGUGGGAUCAAACAGG